CAGCAUAUGGAGGUUCCCAGACUAGGGGUCGAAUUGGAGCUAUAGCUGCCGGCCUACACAACAGCCACAGCAACAUUAGAUCCAAGCCACGUCUGUGACCUACACCAUAGCUCAUGGCAACGCUGGAUCCUUAACCCACUGAGCAAGGCCAGGGAUGGAACCCGUAAUCUCAUGGUUCCUGGUCAGAUACGUUUCUGCUGUGCCAUGAUGGGAACCCUGAGAGUGGCAUUUCUCAAUGCUUUUUAUUUUUCUCCGAAAAUACACAAGACACACAUCCGUGAGAGAGCUCAUGGAUAUGCAUCAUUCCUCACAUCCUAACUUGAACUUGACCCUUUUCUACUCAAGAGAGCUAGGAAAGGUGUGAGAAUGACAUUAUUAGGAGAAGAGUCUAAAUACUUCAUCUUAUUUUGAAUAGUUUUAUUUAUUUAUUUAGGCCAAGUCUGCUGUCUUAGAGGAAACUGCUAACACAUCGUCCUGCAUCACUGUCGUGAGAGUAGAGCAUGAAUCAUGGCAGGGCUCCAUCCUCAAGAGCUCGCAGUUGUGUGGGUGGGCAGACAGGGACCGUUGCCCAGCAUUCAAGACAGGAAAUCCUGGUACUAAGGAUCUUUGUUCUGGCCCUGCAAGGAAGGGGUGAGGGGUUUCUGACUGGGGAAAGCAAGCAAACUUUGAUAGACAACUGGAUCUUUGAAUUGAAUCUUUAGCGAUGAGUGACAUGUUUAUAGGUUGUAAGGGAAAUUGAGAAAGAAGAUGAAAGCAUGGAGACCAUUAUGAUAUUUUCUGGUAGGCCUAGGAGAAUGUUAAAUAGCCCUGUUACAAUCCAAAUGGACAUUUGGAAAGAAGGAGGUAGGAAAUGAGGCCUGAAAAUUAGGUAGUACUUGAACGUCAUACUCUCAUGUUUAGAUGCUCCCCUACAGACAGUGGGGACCCAUUAAAGUUUCAGAGCAGGGGCACGGCAGGAUCCGGCUCGUGUUUCUGGAGGAUCACUCUGGCAGUUCUGAUCCUGUGGUGUCGACAGUCAUAACCUGACAAAGAAUUGUGCGGUUCAAAGUAGGGGAACCAGAAGUGCUAGUUGAUGAGCUGAGAAAAAGAAAAAAAAAAUCAAAGAUCCCAUUUUCCUACCUGUGUCAACUCAAAUAAAUGGAGCCAGAUAAACGUGGAAAAAAAUCGAGAUAGUAGCAAAAUUGCCUGGAAGCAGAAUGUUUUUCAAAGUCCCUAAUGAGGUGUCAGUGAACCUAACGAGAUGAAACUCCCUACCCUACACCUAGUUUUUCACACUGUCCUUUUCAUCCACUCAUAAUUAAGUUGUGAAAUUGGAAUUAUAUCCUAUCAUUAAAGACGGAGGCCAACCCUGCCUGGCUCUUGCUUCUCCGGAGAAGGUGGCUCUCAGAAGUGCUUUCUCCCAUUGCUUCCUUUCCCACCGAUGCAUCCCCCCCCCCCGGCCCCCGCCACGUGGCUGCAGGCGAUGGCAUCGUUGUUUCAGAUUUUGAUUAAGAAGGGCCACGUGGCUCUUCCUCAUUGAUUUCAGUAUUGAAUUCCGUCAUUCUUCGUUAGGAAUUAUUAGGCAGCUGAAGUUGAAAGGAAAAUGUCACGGUCUUUUUAGCGCCGUUGGCUUGUUAGCAGAAGGGAAGGGUCGGCAGGUGAAGAGAGGCUUGUACCCUGGGCCAGACACUGGGUGGGGCUCUCUAGGUAUGUUAGGCCCUCUGUGAUUCUUUCAGGGUGUUCCUGUCAGAGGGAAGCACUAUUCCCAUUUGCACAGGUGUGAACACUGAGGCUCACAGGGGUUGCACACCUUGUGUAAGGUAUGCUAGGCUUGCUCUUAACCCACACUUUUCCUUCUCCACUGUGACAAAGAUGGUGACUACAUGUGUAGACAAAGAGGGCCCAUGGAGAGGAGGCGUAGGUCCAUCAGCCACUACUUGAUGAGUGUCUUACACUUAGAGGUGCAUCCUUUAUUCCUACAAGAAGCCUUUGUGGAGGUAUUAUUUGCUCCUUUUCCAAGUCAGCUCAUUAUGGCUCAGAGGGUCUAAGUGAUGUACCCUAAUUAACACAGUUAGGAAGUGCAGAUUCCCUCACUGCUCAGGUGAAGAUCUCUACAGGAUAAAAUGACUGAUCUUAAAGGGUGAGGCCAAUAAAGGGCAUUUCUGGUACAAGAGCCAGCUUGCAGUAUGAGAGAGAUAAGGCAGGCCCAUUUUUCUGAAACCCUGACAUUCUGAAAUAUAGGGGUAGGGCUAGGAGAUAGGUGAGGAGACGAGAUCAGAAGCUCCUGUGCAGCACCAACCUGGGGCAGAACACCAGCAAUCACUACAUCACCAAAAAAAUAAGAGCAUCAUAUCUUUUGUUCUGCAAGAUUAUUUAAAUAAACUUAUUGAGCAGAUUCAUAAAGCAGUGACUGGAAGCCCAGCUGCCCCAGGACCAGCCCUGCUGCAGUUCUCCCUCAGCCCGUGGUUGGGUUUGCCUGGAGGUAGGAUGGCUACAGCCCACCUCUGCUUCAGCUCACAGGGGACCAAUGCCUUCCUCUCUAACAGCAACAGUACUGUGGACUCAGGUUUCCAGGUCAGGCCUGCCUCUUGCUACUCCUAGCCAGCCCAGCAUGAAAAUGAAAACGCAACCAUGAUCUUUGAUUGAGGACAUUAGGAGCCAGGUAUAUGUCAGAAAUUUAGAUCUGAGGAAGGCCAUAUGUUAUGUGUAUUACAUAUUAUGCAGCACUGCCUGCCCAGCUUAGGGCAGUGCCCAUCAUCAAGCACAUAUUUCUGCAGUAAAAUGUGUAAUAAAUAAAUGUAGGGUGAAUGAAUGCUGUAAGUAGUGUUCCAUCAGUACAGGUCAGUCCAUACCCUCAAAUGAAUUCAGAUCAGCUUAGACGUGCUGCAAAAAUGAGUUGCACACACACACACAUGCAUGCACACAUACAUGCACACACAAAAAUGAGUUUUCAGAGCGUUUUGGAUUUUACAGUUCAGAUAGGAGAUUGUAGGUAAGUAUUUAUUCAAUGCCUACUAUUGCUAAAAUAGUAGUUCACAUAGAUUGAAUGUCUGUUAUGUGCUGGGUACUGUACUCAACAGUUUACAGACAUUUACUGCAUGAGAACCUUAGGGCUCAUGAUGAAUGUGGUGUUACUAUCUCUGUUUUGCAGUGGAGAGCUAUGCUGUGCAAUCAAUAGCCACUAGCCACGUGUGGCUAUUUCCAUUUAAAUUAAUUGAUUUAAACUUAUUUAAAUUAAAUAAAAUAAAAAAUUCAGUUCCUUGGUUGUACUAUCAAGAGCUUGAUAGCCACAUGCGGCUAAUGGCUAUGUAUAUAAGGGAGUAGUUCUCUGUGCCUAGGCAGCCCAGAAUGUUUCCAUUAGAGCAGAAAUUUCUCUUGGACAAGGUGGGUCUAUGUGUUAUACAGGGUAAUGCUUAUGAGUAUGGACUCUGGAGCUUUACUGCCCAGUAACACCAUUUCCUAAUUAGAUACCCUUAACCAAGUUUCUUCAUCUCUUGGCACCUCAGUCUUAUCAUCUGUAACAAAGUGAUAAGAAUAGUGCCCGCUUCAUUUGUUUUUAUGAGGAUUAAAUGAGUGCAUACAUGUACAGAACUCAGAACCGUGUCUGGCUUGAAGUUAUCACAUAGUAGGUAUCACCUAUUAUGAUUAUUUUUAAAGAUGGGGAAUACGAGGCAUAGAAAGAUGUUUUAAACUCUACCUAGCCUAAGUCCUUGCUCUUAAGCUGCACUUGCCUCUCCAGACACAUGGCUUGUUCUUCCCUUCUCCUGAGUUGCUGAACAAGUGAAUGAAUCAAUGAAUGAGAGAGUGAGAGAGCAGUGACCUGCAUGCCUAGAGCAAAGAACAAAGGGAGAUGAGUGAUAGCUUGGUCUUUUUUUUUUUAAGGCCUCACCAGUGACAUAUGGAAGUUUCUUCCUGGGCUAGGGAUUGAAUUGGAGAUGCAGCUGAGGCCAAUGCCACAGCCACAGCAAUGCCAUAUCUGAGCCACAUCUGAGAUCUACUCCACAGCUUGCAGCAAAUCCUUAACCAACUGAGCAAGGCCAGGUUUUGAACCCUCAUCCUCAAGGACACUGUGUCAGUGUCUUAACCCACUGAGCCACAGUGAGAACUCCUAAUAACCUGGUCUUUAGGAUCAGGCUCAGAUACCAAGGUUCAAUUCAUAUCUUCUAUUUCCACUUUGUUCCAUUUUCCUGUUCCUAAUCUUAAUUUUUAAAAAUCAGCUAUAACGAGGCUAUUGUAAGGCAUCGAACGUGCUGUCAGGUCUAUAUAUUUGAGAUAAUAUGUUGGAGCUUCAUUGAUUCUGUUUGACAGCGGUCGAAACAGAAAUAGAGUGAAGCUGCUGCCUGGAAUGAGGCACUGGAUCACUCUCACGAGAGAUAACUGCCAGACGUGCCUGCAUAUAUCUGUGAGCAAUGCCUGGUAUGGGCAGAGGUGUAGUGUUCACUGCAGGACCCCCAGGCAUGGAGUCAAAUGGGAUGGGGUUCAGUAUCAGUCCUGAACCAAACCUAGGCAACCGUCUCAUAUCACUUAAGCUUUUUUGAGCCUCAGUUUCAUCAUCUGCAACACAGGGCAAUUCUGAUUCUUCUCUUUCACAUGUUGUCAUGAAGCCCAGAUGCAAAGUAAAUUACAACACGUUCUUAAUUAUAAAGCAUGGAAUGCACGUAAGUUACAUUGCUAAUGCAAGAAAUGCUUUGCUUCUGGUAGGAUGGGCAGCCUCUGAGUUUUAAGGAGAGACAAAUAGAAAUAUCCAAUGUGCAUUAGUAACUGGAGUUGCUUAUUAGAUAUUAGUCAUCAUUUUGGUCUUAGUGGACAAAGAAUGUUGUCACGGACAUGUCAUUAAUAUCAAUUGAAAGAUGAAUGAACCACUCUUUGGACCACACCUUGAGCGAUAAGAGUAUGCUAAUGUUAAGUUUUCCUUUUAACAAACCAUGAAAGUUACACCAUCAUCAUCCCCACCCCCACCUCCCCACCAACUACCAGGAAGCUUAUAAUUUAAUACUCCUUUCACCUUAUUAUUUCUUUUUUUUUCUUUUUGUCUUUUUGGCAUUUCUUGGGCCACUGCCAGGGCAUAUGGAGAUUCCCAGGCUUGGGGUCUAAUCGGAGCUGUAGCCUCCGGCCUAUGCCAGAGCCACAGCAACUCGGGAUCUGAGCCGUGUCUGCAACCUACACCACAGCUCACGGCAAUGUCAGAUCAUUAACCCACUGAGCAAGGCCAGGGAUCGAACCCACAACCUCAUGUUUCCUAGUCGGAUUUGUUAUCCACUGUGCCACGACGGGAACUCCUCACUUGUCACUUUAUUAUUUCUCUUUUUAAAUUUUAAGUUAAGAAAUGGAAAAUCUAGCAAGAGCAAGAAGGAUGUUCCAGGACUGAGGGCCCAUCAGGGGCAGAACUUAGGACUAGAAUUUCCAUUUCUGACUCACAGCCCAUUUAUGAGACAAGUUCUAAUCAAGAGUUGUGUGGUGAGCAUUGAAGCAGAUCAAGGGAGUCAGAUGAGUCUAAUGAAUGUUGGAAGAGCUUGAUGUAGCUAUCUCAUCAUAGCAAUGACAUUGCUAAUGGGACCUUAAAUACUGAGGCCCAUAGCUACUGUAUUAGUUAGGAAUGUGUGUAGCACCAAAUCAUGGUUCCCAAGUAAUAGUGGCUUAAACAAGAAGGAUUUACUAUUCCUCACCUAGGAAGAAGCCUGGAUAUAGGCAGUUGUUAGCAUUGCUUCAGUUGUCUAAAAAUGCCUCCAGGGACUUAAGCUCUUCCUACCUCUUGUUCACAAGAUGGCUGCCUUGGUGCCAGGCAUCAUAUCACUGUCCAGAAAGGAAGAAGGAGAAAAAGCUAAAGCUAAAACUUUCCCAGAAUUCUUUCAACAGACUUCUACUUCAGUUUAAUUGUUUAGAACUGUGUCACCUGGCCACAUCUAACUUUAGGAGGAAUUAGGAAACUGAGUAUUUUACCUUUCUAGCUUCUAUCACUGGGAUGAUAUUUUUAUUUUUUAAUUUUUAAAAUUUUUUAUUUUUUUGUCUUUUUAGAGCCACACCUGUAGCACAUGGAAAUUCCCAGGCUAGGUGUUGAAUCGGAGCUGCAGCUGCUGGCCUACACCACAGACAUAGCAAUGCAGGAUCUGAGCUGUGUCUAUACCCAAACCAUAGCUCAUGGCAACACUGGAUCCUUAACCCAGUGAGUGAGGCUGGGAUUUAACCUGAGUCAUGGAUACUAGUUGGGUUCAUUACCACUGAGCCAUGACAGAA
rnacentral:lncRNA from 1 species